UGGUGGAGUGAUUUGUCUGGUUAAUUCCGAUAACGAACGAGACCUCAACCAGUUAAAUAGUAGCGUUCUCCAUCUAUAUGAGUGAAGAUGGUGGGGUUGGUAUGGAACCUGGCAACGGGUGAAGUACACUCGCCUUUGGAUCUUUGAUGCGAUUACGUGCUCCAAAAGAGCGAAUACUUCUUAAAGGGACUUUUCAUGUUUAAUGAACGGAAGUGAGGCAAUAACA
rnacentral:rRNA from 1 species